UACAGAGGGUGCAAGCGUUAAUCGGAAUUACUGGGCGUAAAGCGUGCGUAGGCGGUCCGCGAAGUCUGAUGUGAAAGCCCCGGGCUCAACCUGGGAACUGCAUUGGAAACUAACGGGCUCGAGUGUGGCAGAGGGGGGUGGAAUUCCACGUGUAGCAGUGAAAUGCGUAGAGAUGUGGAGGAACACCGAUGGCGAAGGCAGCCCCCUGGGCUAACACUGACGCUCAGGCACGAAAGCGUGGGGAGCAAACAGG
rnacentral:rRNA from 1 species